rnacentral:tRNA from 3 species
GGAGAGGUGGCUGAGUGGUCGAAAGCGCCGCACUCGAAAUGCGGUGAACCGAAAGGUUCCGGGGGUUCGAAUCCCUCCCUCUCCGCCA